AAACAGUGGCCAAAAGCAGUAGAUAAACCUGAUAUAGUCGGCAGAGCCCAUCAGAUCAGAGGGGGUGUCAGGUAGUAGUGGGUGGCACAGUAAUCCAAGCAAAGGUAAUAUAACUUAGCAAGGAAGCCAUCGUAUGGAGGUACGUUCUCUCAUAUAUUGAUUAUUCAUAUUCUCCCAUACACACAACUGAGAUUUAUUAUCUCUCUCAAUACACUAGACCAUAUAUUCCUCCAUUGUUAACCUUGUGAACACGUACUAAUUCUCACGCCUGAGCUAUCCCCCGACGGAACCGCCGUCAAGCUUUUGGUGUUGACCGUGUUUACUGUGCAGGAUCAGGACGUCUUACGUGAUUGGGACGUGGA
rnacentral:lncRNA from 1 species